UAUGUUUUAAGUAUUUAAUUAAAUAUUUACUAAUUUUACAAUUUUCUCUCCCAAGAAUUUUUUUUUCCACGUCUCCAGAAUCUUUGUAGAUGUUAGAAAUCUCAGAGGCUCUGGCACUAGGACUCCCAUUGUCAUCUAACUCAGGCCUUACUGCUGUCUUAGGUGGUAAGUGCUGUUUCUCCAGGUGAGAAAAUGGAGACUCUUGAGUGUAGUGAUUCAGACUUAGCUUGGCAUGACUCCUGAGUCUGAACUUCUCACCACCGUGACAGGGUGACUUCUCAAUGUGUGACUUAAUUUGCCACAUGUGUGCCCGCGAUAUCCAGUGGAUGGUGUCAUUUCUGCUCUGGAGAGUACAUACAUGUCUUUAUGGAAGAAUUCAGAUUGGCUUUAAGGAGAUGUAGGAGAAGAAUGAUGUUUUCAUGAGUGUUUUUUAUCCCUACUUUGCCACCCUCCAGGCUUCUCUUGCCUUACUUUUUCAUUAAACUAAAUGAUCAAGUAUGCACAAGGCCUCCAGCAAGCUUGGUGCCAAAGAUUAUCUACCCAACCAAAAAAAUAUCCUGUGCCAGAGUAUUCUUGUAGCCAGAUCUAAGAACAUAAAGGAAAAAAUGUAGCUAUUAAUGGAAACAGCUUUUUGUGGUGCCCAAAAGAAUAUAGACUCUGCUUCAGCCUACCUGAACUCAAAUCCCAGUUCAGCCAUUUACCAGCACAAUCGCCUAUAAAAUGGGAAUAAUAAAAGGCCUUCCUCAUAUUGACAUGGUGGAGUUGUUAAUCCUAUCUGAUUCACAGAAUUGCUGUGAGGAACAAAUGAGAUAAUAUCUACCAAGGAUUUAACACAGAAUCUGUUUUAUAUAGACAUGAGCAAAUGCGGAAAGGGUCAGUCUGUGUAGUCUGAGAGCUGAGUCACAAACAAGACAGGAUUCUGUAACUAUUUCUAUUCUGCAGAGGAUGGAGGCCUGUGAAAAUAAGGAGUAUGUGGAAAAUAAGGAAUAUGUGCUCUAUGUGU